GGGUGUGAUCAUACCAGCGUUAAUGCACUGCAUCCCAUCAGAACUCCGUAGUUAAGCACGCUUGGGCUAGAGUAGUUCUGGGAUGGGUGACCUUCCAAGAAGUCCUAGUGUUGCACACU
rfam:Picea glauca, whole genome shotgun sequence.